CCAGACUCCUACGGGAGGCAGCAGUGGGGAAUAUUGGACAAUGGGCGCAAGCCUGAUCCAGCCAUGCCGCGUGAGUGAAGAAGGCCUUAGGGUUGUAAAGCACUUUCAGUCGUGAAGAAAAACUUAAAGUUAAUAGCUAUGAGUCUUGACGUUAACGACAGAAGAAGAUCCGGCUAACUCCGUGCCAGCAGCCGCGGUAAUAC
rnacentral:rRNA from 14 species